GAUGAACGCUAGCGGCAGGCCUAACACAUGCAAGUCGAGGGAGAAGCCCUUUCGGGGGCCGAAACCGGCGCACGGGUGCGUAACGCGUAUGCAACCUACCUUUCACAGGGGGAUAGCCCGAAGAAAUUUGGAUUAAUACCCCAUAAUAUUAUUGGAUGGCAUCAUUUGAUAAUUAAAACUGCGGUGGUGAAAGAUGGGCAUGCGUCCUAUUAGCUAGUUGGAGUGGUAACGGCACCCCAAGGCUACGAUAGGUAGGGGUCCUGAGAGGGAGACCCCCCACACUGGUACUGAGACAGGGACCAGACUCCUACGGGAGGCAGCAGUGAGGAAUAUUGGUCAAUGGUCGGAAGACUGAAACAGCCAUGCCGCGUGCAGGAAGAAUGCCUUAUGGGUUGUAAACUGCUUUUAUAUGGGAAGAAUAAGGCGUACGUGUACGUUGAUGACGGUACCAUAUGAAUAAGCAUCGGCUAACUCCGUG
rnacentral:rRNA from 1 species